GAUGAACGCUAGCGGCAGGCCUAAUACAUGCAAGUCGAACGGCAGCACGAGUAGCAAUACUUGGUGGCGAGUGGCGCACGGGUGCGUAACGCGUAUGCAACUUACCUUCAACUGGAAGAUAGCCCCUCGAAAGAGGGAUUAAUACUCCAUAGUAUUAUGAGAUAGCAUUAUCUUAUAAUUAAAGCUCAGGCGGUUGAAGAUGGGCAUGCGUGACAUUAGCUAGUUGGUGAGGUAAUGGCUCACCAAGGCUACGAUGUCUAGGGGAUCUGAGAGGACUAACCCCCACACUGGUACUGAGACACGGACCAGACUCCUACGGGAGGCAGCAGUAAGGAAUAUUGGUCAAUGGAGGCAACUCUGAACCAGCCAUGCCGCGUGCAGGAUGACGGACCUAUGGUUUGUAAACUGCUUUUGUACGGGAAAAAACCUCUUUACGUGUAAAGAGCUGAUGGUACCGUAAGAAUAAGGAUCGGCUAACUCCGUG
rnacentral:rRNA from 1 species